rnacentral:rRNA from 1 species
UGGGGAAUAUUGCGCAAUGGAGGAAACUCUGACGCAGCAACGCCGCGUGAGUGAAGAAGGUUUUCGGAUCGUAAAACUCUGUCUUUGGGGACGAAUAAAAUGACGGUACCCAAGGAGGAAGCCCCGGCUAACUACGUGCCAGCAGCCGCGGUAAUACGGAGGGGGCAAGCGUUGUCCGGAAUUACUGGGCGGAAAGAGUACGUAGGCGGUUUGUUAAUUUAGGUGUGAAAGUUUGCAGCUCAACUGUAAAAGUGCAUUUAAAACUGGCAGACUUGAGUCUCGGAGAGGUAAGCGGAAUUCCUAGUGUAGCGGUGAAAUGCGUAGAGAUUAGGAAGAACACCGGUGGCGAAGGCGGCUUACUGGACGAGUACUGACGCUCAGGUACGAAAGCGUGGGGAGCAAACA